AUUUGGUCGUAGACCCGAAACCAGGUGAUCUACCCUUGGUCAGGUUGAAGUUCAGGUAACACUGAAUGGAGGACCGAACCGACUUACGUUGAAAAGUGAGCGGAUGAACUGAGGGUAGCGGAGAAAUUCCAAUCGAACCUGGAGAUAGCUGGUUCUCUCCGAAAUAGCUUUAGGGCUAGCCUCAAGUGAUGAUUAUUGGAGGUAGAGCACUGUUUGGACGAGGGGCCCCUCUCGGGUUACCGAAUUCAGACAAACUCCGAAUGCCAAUUAAUUUAACUUGGGAGUCAGAACAUGGGUGAUAAGGUCCGUGUUCGAAAGGGAAACAGCCCAGACCACCAGCUAAGGUCCCAAAAUAUAUGUUAAGUGGAAAAGGAUGUGGCGUUGCCCAGACAACUAGGAUGUUGGCUUAGAAGCAGCCAUCAUUUAAAGAGUGCGUAAUAGCUCACUAGUCGAGUGACACUGCGCCGAAAAUGUACCGGGGCUAAACAUAUUACCGAAGCUGUGGAUUGUCCUUUGGACAAUGGUAGGAGAGCGUUCUAAGGGCGUUGAAGCAUGAUCGUAAGGACAUGUGGAGCGCUUAGAAGUGAGAAUGCCGGUGUGAG
rnacentral:rRNA from 1 species